AACGAACGCUGGCGGCAGGCUCAACACAUGCAAGUCGAACGAGAUCUUCGGAUCUAGUGGCAGACGGGUGAGGAACACGUGGGAACAUCCCUUUCAGUUCGGAAUAACGUUGGGAAACUAACGCUAAUACCGGAUACGUCCUUCGGGAGAAAGAUUUAUCGCUGAAAGAUUGGCCCGCGUCUGAUUAGCUGGUUGGUGAGGUAACGGCUCACCAAGGCUACGAUCAGUAGCUGAUCUGAGAGGAUGAUCAGCCACAUUGGGACUGAGACACGGCCCAAACUCCUACGGGAGGCAGCAGUGGGGAAUAUUGGACAAUGGGCGCAAGCCUGUUCCAGCCAUGCCGCGUGAGUGAUGACGGCCUUCGGGUUGUAAAGCUCUUUUGUCCGGGAAGAUAAUGACUGUACCGGAAGAAUAAGCCCCGGCAAACUUCGUGCCAGCCGCCGCCGUAA
rnacentral:rRNA from 1 species